AGCGAACGCUGGCGGCAGGCCUAACACAUGCAAGUCGAACGAACCCUUCGGGGUUAGUGGCGGACGGGUGAGUAACGCGUGGGAACGUGCCUUUAGGUUCGGAAUAACUCAGGGAAACUUGUGCUAAUACCGAAUGUGCCCUUCGGGGGAAAGAUUUAUCGCCUUUAGAGCGGCCCGCGUCUGAUUAGCUAGUUGGUGAGGUAAUGGCUCACCAAGGCUACGAUCAGUAGCUGGUCUGAGAGGAUGACCAGCCACAUUGGGACUGAGACACGGCCCAAACUCCUACGGGAGGCAGCAGUGGGGAAUCUUGCGCAAUGGGCGAAAGCCUGACGCAGCCAUGCCGCGUGGAUGAUGAAGGUCUUAGGAUUGUAAAAUCCUUUCACCGGUGAAGAUAAUGACUGUAACCGGAGAAGAAGCCCCGGCUAACUUCGUGCCAGCCGCCGCUGUAAUAC
rnacentral:rRNA from 1 species